GACGAACGCUGGCGGCGUGCUUAACACAUGCAAGUCGAACGGAAAGGCCCUGCUUUUGUGGGGUGCUCGAGUGGCGAACGGGUGAGUAACACGUGAGUAACCUGCCCUUGACUUUGGGAUAACUUCAGGAAACUGGGGCUAAUACCGGAUAGGAGCUCCGGCGGCAUGGUGGGGGUUGGAAAGGUUCGGCGGUUGGGGAUGGACUCGCGGCUUAUCAGCUUGUUGGUGGGGUAGUGGCUUACCAAGGCUUUGACGGGUAGCCGGCCUGAGAGGGUGACCGGCCACAUUGGGACUGAGAUACGGCCCAGACUCCUACGGGAGGCAGCAGUGGGGAAUAUUGCACAAUGGGCGGAAGCCUGAUGCAGCAACGCCGCGUGCGGGAUGACGGCCUUCGGGUUGUAAACCGCUUUCGCCUGUGGCGAAGCGUGAGUGACGGUAAUGGGUAAAGAAGCACCGGCUAACUACGUG
rnacentral:rRNA from 1 species